AUCAGUUGCUGUAGGUCAUUGCAGAGUCUGUGCAGGCAGAUGAGUAAGCGAGAAAGACACGCAAAGAGAGGAAGAGCGACAGCUAUCUUCGAUGCGUUUGGUGGUUCGUUUGUAAUUGCCGGGCUCCCAGAAGGAAUCACUUCCAGCCUGCAGAAGCUGUUCAUCGCUGUGGUGGGACAUUUCCUAAAAGCAUAUUAUUAAAUAAGGCAACACACAUGAAUUCUUAAAGCAGCAAUAAAUCUACAGUUUGUACGACAAUAAACCGUCACUGAGACAUAUAUAUUUGGCAUGAUGACAUACAACUCAAAAGCAAUAUACUCAAGUAUUUGAAUAUCAUUU